UACGUAGGGUGCGAGCGUUGUCCGGAAUUAUUGGGCGUAAAGAGCUCGUAGGCGGUGUGUCACGUCGAUCGUGAAAACUUUCAGCUUAACUGGGAGCUUGCGGUCGAUACGGGCAUCACUGGAGUUCGGCAGGGGAGACUGGAAUUCAAGGUGUAGCGGUGAAAUGCGCAGAUAUCUUGAGGAACACCGGUGGCGAAGGCGGGUCUCUGGGCCGAUACUGACGCUGAGGAGCGAAAGCGUGGGGAGCGAACAGGA
rnacentral:rRNA from 1 species